GUUUCCCUAGUGUAGUCGUCAUCACGUUUGCCUCACACGCAAAAGGUCCCCAGUUCGAAACUGGGCGGAAAUA
rnacentral:tRNA from 1 species